rnacentral:rRNA from 1 species
UACGGAGGGUGCAAGCGUUAUCCGGGAUUCACUGGGUUUAAAGGGUGCGUAGGCGGCCAGUUAAGUCAGGGGUGAAAGACGGUAGCUCAACUAUCGCAGUGCCUUUGAUACUGAUUGGCUUGAAUGUACUUGAGGUAGGCGGAAUGUGACAAGUAGCGGUGAAAUGCAUAGAUAUGUCACAGAACACCAAUUGCGAAGGCAGCUUACUAAAGUAUGAUUGACGCUGAGGCACGAAAGCGUGGGGAUCAAACAGG